UACGUAGGGUGCAAGCGUUAAUCGGAAUUACUGGGCGUAAAGCGUGCGCAGGCGGUUUUGUAAGUUUGUCGUGAAAGCCCCGGGCUCAACCUGGGAAUUGCGAUGAAGACUGCAAGGCUUGAAUCUGGCAGAGGGGGGUAGAAUUCCACGUGUAGCAGUGAAAUGCGUAGAGAUGUGGAGGAAUACCGGUGGCGAAGGCGGCAUCCUGGACCGACAUUGACGCUGAUGAGCGAAAGCUAGGGGAGCAAACGGG
rnacentral:rRNA from 1 species